rnacentral:rRNA from 1 species
AGCAGUAGCCGCGGUAAUACGGAGGGGGCUAGCGUUGUUCGGAAUUACUGGGCGUAAAGCGCACGUAGGCUGCUUUGUAAGUUAGAGGUGAAAGCCUGGUGCUCAACACCAGAACUGCCUUUAAGACUGCAGAGCUAGAACGUCGGAGAGGUGAGUGGAAUUCCGAGUGUAGAGGUGAAAUUCGUAGAUAUUCGGAAGAACACCAGUGGCGAAGGCGGCUCACUGGACGACUGUUGACGCUGAGGUGCGAAAGCGUGGGGAGCAAACAGGAUUAGAUACCCCCGUAGUCCCUGUCUCUUAUAC